UCGUAAGCUGGAGGAUCGAAGAUGAUUUAGAUACCAUUGUAGUUUUAGCAGUAAAUUAUGUUGAAUCAUAGAUAUAUUUUGAUAUAUAUUUAUGUAGAGAAAUUAAGAUUAUAUUGACUCUGGGGAUAGUAUGAUCGCAAGAUUGAAAAUUAAAGAAAUUGACGGAAGAAUACCACAAGGAGUGGAUUGUGCGGCUUAAUUUGACUCAACGCGGGGUAAUUUACCAGGUAUAACAUGAUAUAAUAUUUUAUCAUGAUAGUGGUGCAUGGCCGUUUCCAAUGGAUGCUGUGAAGUAAUGAUUAAUUUCAACAAGAUGUGAGACCCUCAUAUAGACAGAUGUAGUGAUACAUAUGAAGGAGAGGAUUAAAACAGGUCCGUUAUGCCCUAAGAUAAUCUGGGUUGCACGCGCAAUACAAUAAUAUUUGAUAUUAUAAGGGAUAAUAUAAUGUAAGAUAUAUUUGAACAUGGAAUUGCUAGUAAAUUUUAUUUAAUAAGUAGAAUUGAAUGAGUCCCUGUUCUUUGUACACACCGCCCGUCGCUAUCUAAGAUGGUAUUAUCUAUUUACUAUUUUUAUAUGAGAAUAGAUAGUACUAGAUCUUAUAUAAGUUGAUCC
rnacentral:rRNA from 1 species